CUGGCGGCGUGCCUAAUACAUGCAAGUCGAACGGUCCUUCUAUGGAAGCUUGCUUCCACUGAGAAGAUAGUGGCGAACGGGUGAGUAACACGUGGGUAACCUGCCCAUAAGAGGGGGGAUAACAUCCGGAAACGGGUGCUAAUACCGCAUAGUUUUCUUGAUCGCAUGAUCGGGAAAGGAAAGACGGCCUUUGUGCUGUCGCUUAUGGAUGGACCCGCGGCGUAUUAGUUAGUUGGUGAGGUAAUGGCUCACCAAGACGAUGAUACGUAGCCGACCUGAGAGGGUGAUCGGCCACAUUGGGACUGAGACACGGCCCAAACUCCUACGGGAGGCAGCAGUAGGGAAUCUUCCGCAAUGGACGAAAGUCUGACGGAGCAACGCCGCGUGAGUGAAGAAAGGUUUUCGGAUCGUAAAACUCUGUUGUCAGAGAAGAACAAGUUGGAGAGUAACUGCUCCAGCCUUGACGGUAUCUGACCAGAAAGCCACGGCUAACUACGUGCCAGCCGCUGC
rnacentral:rRNA from 1 species